UAGCUCAGUUGGUAGAGCGUUCCACUGGAAAUGGAGAGGUCCCUGGUUCGAUGCCAAG
rnacentral:tRNA from 1 species